rnacentral:rRNA from 1 species
AUGGCUCGCCUUGUUCUCAAGGACAACAUCACCUCUGGGGGAGCCCUGGCUGUAGGCCAGACUCAGUGGCUGGGCAGCUUCGUCAUGACCACCCGUUCGGCCGCCGCGCCGACGAUGACUUCUCGGGUCAUCAAGAACCGCCUCCACGUCAGCUCAAAAUUCACCGAGCAGAUGGAUCCAAUGGAUCUCUCCUCCCUGAACGAGCUCUUGGAUCACAUCGCCGCCCUGGGAGUCGCUACGGACUAUGAUCGGAUCGGACUUAAACCCGACCAAAGGGAGAUUAAUUCUUCGCUGGUCACCCAUCAGAUAGCGGUGGUGGAGGAACAAUGCAAUGAUUCUUCCUCUAUUUUGAGGACGAACUAUGUCCGGAUUAACGAGAUCUCCGAGCCGGAUACCCGUCUCCAGGAGGACAUGGCCCAGGCUCCGAACCUAGAAUCGGACGGCGGGCCAGGAAAAUUGGGCAGCAUCCGAGAGUCCGAGCCGUCAAGCUCGGAAGUCCCUCGGUCCCUGGGUCUCAGAUCGGGUCAGCGUUCGGACUUAAAUCUACCCACCCACCCAAACACAAGUGAUCUUUCCCACAUUAGACAAGAGCCCCAAGAGACAGUACAUCACUUUUGGGCCAGAUUCCUCCUUGUAAUGAGCAAGGUUAAG